rnacentral:rRNA from 1 species
UACGUAGGGGGCAAGCGUUGUCCGGAUUUAUUGGGCGUAAAGAGCGUGUAGGCGGCCAGAUAGGUCAGCUGUGAAAACUCGAGGCUCAACCUCGAGACGUCGGUUGAAACCAUCUGGCUAGAGUCCGGAAGAGGAGAGUGGAAUUCCCGGUGUAGCGGUGAAAUGCGCAGAUAUCGGGAAGAACACCCGUGGCGAAGGCGGCUCUCUGGGACGGUACUGACGCUGAGACGCGAAAGCGUGGGGAGCAAACAGG